rnacentral:hammerhead_ribozyme from 1 species
AUUCAGUUGACGAGUCUCAAAUAGGAUGAAACGUGCGUCAUGGAU